CCUACGGGAGGCAGCAGCCGAGAAUCAUUCACAAUGGACGCAAGUCUGAUGAUGUGACGCCGCGUGGAGGAUGAAGGCCCUAGGGUCGUAAACUCCUGUCAUCAGGGAGUAAGACAUGUGCGUUAAAAGCGUUGCAUGUUUGAUAGUACCUGAAGAGGAAGGGACGGCUAACUUCGUGCCAGCAGCCGCGGUAAU
rnacentral:rRNA from 1 species